AAGAUUUUAAAAGUCGAACAGACUUAAAAACUUAAACUACUGCGCCUAAUUUUCAUCUUAAUUCAACAUCGAGGUCGCAAACAUCUUUAUCUAUAUGGUCUAUCAAAAGAUAUUACG
rnacentral:rRNA from 1 species